UACGGGGGGAGCAAGCGUUGUUCGGAUUUACUGGGCGUAAAGGGCGCGUAGGCGGCCACCGCAAGUCGACUGUGAAAUCUCCGGGCUUAACCCGGAAAGGUCAGCCGAUACUGCGGGGCUAGAGUGCAGAAGGGGCAACUGGAAUUCUCGGUGUAGCGGUGAAAUGCGUAGAUAUCAGGAGGAACACCGAUUGCGAAGGCAGCUCGCUGGAACGUUACUGACGCUGAGACGCGAAAGCGUGGGGAGCAAACAGG
rnacentral:rRNA from 1 species